GACGAACCGUCCAAACGUUAUUCGGAAUCACUGGGCUUACAGAGUUCGUAGGCGUCUGGAAAGUUGGGUGUGAAAUCCCUCGGCUCAACCGAGGAACUGCGCUUGAAACUACCAGACUCGGAGGGAGAUAGAGGAAAGCGGAACUGAUGGUGGAGCGGUGAAAUGCGUUGAUAUCAUCAGGAACACCGGUGGCGAAGGCGGCUUCUGGGUCGUUACCUGACGCUGAGGCAACGAAAGCCAGGGGACGACGGAAAGCGGGAUUAGAAACCCCGGUAGUAGUCCAAGCACCGAAUGAUACCCUCUA
rnacentral:rRNA from 1 species